rnacentral:lncRNA from 1 species
AGGAUGAGGUGAAGGUGUCUUCAUCUGAGGAUGAGGUGAAUGUAUCUUCAUUUAAAGAUUUUCUAGUGGUGAGCUCUCUCUUCUUGAAAUAGUACCUUAGGACUAGUCUCGAAAUAGAACCUCGAAGCUAGUCGAAGAGGAUCCUCCUUCUAGCAUCAAUUAUUACUGCCGAUCUUCCCGCCUGAGGUCAAACACCGAGGUGGAUGUGGCUGAGGUGAAUCUACCGUUGGGGCUUCGCUCAAGCACCUGUAAAAUAAGUCCACACUGGGACUCCAGUGUAGACCUUCCGACGCUCAAGUCAGGAGAUGGAGAAUGAUGAGAGGAGAGAAUUAGGAGUU